CCUACGGGAGGCAGCAGUAGGGAAUCUUCCGCAAUGGACGAAAGUCUGACGGAGCAACGCCGCGUGAGUGAUGAAGGUUUUCGGAUCGUAAAGCAUCUGAUUGUUAGGGAAGAACAAGUGCAAGAGUAACUGCUUGCACCUUGACGGUACCUAACCAGAAAGCCACGGCUAACUACGUGCCAGCAGCCGCGGUAAUACGUAGGUGGCAAGCGUUGUCCGGAAUUAUUGGGCGUAAAGGGCUCGCAGGCGGUUUCUUAAGUCUGAUGUGAAAGCCCCCGGCUCAACCGGGGAGGGUCAUUGGAAACUGGGAAACUUGAGUGCAGAAGAGGAGAGUGGAAUUCCACGUGUAGCGGUGAAAUGCGUAGAGAUGUGGAGGAACACCAGUGGCGAAGGCGACUCUCUGGUCUGUAACUGACGCUGAGGAGCGAAAGCGUGGGGAGCGAACAGGAUUAGAUACCCUGGUAGUCCACGCCGUAAACGAUGAGUGCUAAGUGUUAGGGGGUUUCCGCCCCUUAGUGCUGCAGCUAACGCAUUAAGCACUCCGCCUGGGGAGUACGGUCGCAAGACUGAAACUCAAAGGAAUUGACGGGGGCCCGCACAAGCGGUGGAGCAUGUGGUUUAAUUCGAAGCAACGCGAAGAACCUUAC
rnacentral:rRNA from 1 species